GUUCUUAUUAGUGAAAGAAACAAAAAUAUACUUGAUAGUAUCAAGCCCAUAUAUGAGGCUAAAAACUUUUUCUUGUAGAUGUGCAAUCGCAAUGUGGAAUAUGCUUCUAUCGUCCACGUCACUCAUCAUCAAUAAAUCUAGAUUACGUUUGAUGAUUUCAACAAUAAACUCCAUCAUCCUCCGUUGAGCAGCGUUGAUGAUUGCAUGAUUCACUAAACCUUGAUAUAAUUGUUCAAUCUCAAACGUAGUUAUUGUCUCAGCCAUCAAAAGCAUAAGCUCAUGGGCAU
rnacentral:lncRNA from 1 species